GAUGAACGCUGGCGGCGUGCCUAAUACAUGCAAGUCGAGCGAACAGAUGAGGAGCUUGCUCCUCUGACGUUAGCGGCGGACGGGUGAGUAACACGUGGAUAACCUACCUAUAAGACUGGGAUAACUUCGGGAAGCCGGAGCUAAUACCGGAUAAUAUAUUGAACCGCAUGGUUCAAUAGUGAAAGACGGUUUUGCUGUCACUUAUAGAUGGAUCCGCGCCGCAUUAGCUAGUUGGUAAGGUAACGGCUUACCAAGGCAACGAUGCGUAGCCGACCUGAGAGGGUGAUCGGCCACACUGGAACUGAGACACGGUCCAGACUCCUACGGGAGGCAGCAGUAGGGAAUCUUCCGCAAUGGGCGGAAGCCUGACGGAGCAACGCCGCGUGAGUGAUGAAGGUCUUCGGAUCGUAAAACUCUGUUAUUAGGGAAGAACAAAUGUGUAAGUAACUAUGCACGUCUUGACGGUACCUAAUCAGAAAGCCACGGCUAACUACGUG
rnacentral:rRNA from 1 species